GGCAGGACCCCGCAGGGCCCUGCUCUGCAACGCAGCAGGCUGGCCCAGCGGCCCCAGACCCGGGCAGAAGGCCGGUGGCCGGAACUGUCCUGGCCUUUGGGGCAGAGGCCCCUGCCCAGACGCUGUGUUGACACAGGUGGCCGUCUGCAGAGCUGACAUCAAACCUCUUCCCUCUUUCUUCCUCUUCCUGAGCAGGGGCUUCAGCUGGCCCGCAUCAGGCAGAGAUCUGAGCUCAUCGCAGUGCCCCUCCUCCCGCACCCCCAGGGGAACUGCUGGCCACCUGCGCCGAGCGGCCUUGUCUCCACACCCAGAAGAGUCAAGUCCCGGGCAGGGCUGAUGCCAGCACCAGGGACAGCCCCGGGACAGAGGGCCUGGCAUCGCAGCACGGAUCUGCCCAGACCAGACCAGGGGCCCCGUCAGCCGGUCCCACGCCCAGCGUUCCCAGGCACCACCAGCUCGGCCCCUGCGAUGUGAGCCCAAGGCAGGGAAGAGAGCACGAUGCUCUGGGAACGGCCCAGGUCCCGGGAUGGCUCACAGCCUGUAACCAAGCUGUCCCGGGGGCAGAGGGGCAUAUGCCAUAUGGAACCGCCCCAGGCUGCCGCCACUGCCCCCCGCCAGCCUUCCAAUCCAAUCUCUUCUGCUCCACUCGCCUGGGCUGCGGCCAGGCCCCUGGGCUGCGGCCCUCCAGCCCAGCUCCUCGCUUCGCCUCCCAGUGCGGACUCUCCAGGGGCCGCUGGGGGUGCGGCUGCAGGCAAGCCCGCAGGGACCCCACAGGUCACGUGACGGGUAGCAGCCCAGACAGCUCCUCGCGGGGCCCCUUCCCUGGGGAACCCCUCGCCGGUGGGACGGACUGACAGGUGGGGACGUGGAGGUGGGGGCCGGGCGGUCGGAGGGGCUUCAGCCAAGGGUGCCUCGUUAGUGGGCCAGUCAGGAGGCGGGAGAAUGGUCUCAGAUUCAGCCCUGGGGAACCCCAGCGCCCCACCCACUCCAGGCAGCCCAGGUCCCGCCCCUGCCUGCCCCGCCACCCUGGGACACACCGCACACCGCCAGGUGUGAGUAACAAGCCCAAGGUGUGUCCCUGGACCCAGCGCAGGAGGCAGCCUCACAGGGCCUGGGGCCAUGGUGCUGAGCCCUCCAGAGGUGAAGGGGGGUCUCUGGGCGGGGUGGCUGCCCUGGGGCCCUGAGACCAGAGGUCCAGGAUCCCUCCUGGCCCAAGGCCUCCCCCAGAGAACCCGGGCGCACCCCAGGCUGGCUCGACGGGCCUGCUGGGGCGUUCUCCAGGCCCUCCCACCCCGCCCCUGACCGGCUGAGCAGCCGAGGAAGGUGCUGGAGCUGCCCAGACUUGCCUGUCCCUCCCUCCUGGGGCUCUCAACCCAUGGCCCCGGAAGUGGAUCUCUCUCCCACGGCUGCAGCCUCCCCCUUGGGUGACUGGACACGGCUGGAUAAUCCAAAAUAAUUCCUUCUUGGCAGGCAGCCGGCGGGGGAGGGGGGACUUGAAUUCCAAACCCUUGUUUUUCUCUGCAACUUCCCUCCUCUCUUGGGGCGAGGAGCCCCAGGCCAGACCUCAAGCCUCCCCCCACGCUCGGAUGAAAGUGGGCCACCGAUAGGUGUGCUGGGAAGAGGUGCCAAGCUCAGAUCUGCUGAGAGCACCUGCUUGCUUUCAAUCUUCUCCGAGAAUUCCUAAAAGCUGACACGCCACAAAACAUACUCCGCGGCUCGGCCAGGCCGAUGCUGACCGUGCCCUCCUAGGGACCCUCUCCUCAGGGCAGAGGACCGACAGCCCCUGCCCCAGCUGCCCAACUCUGGGGCUCCCCGCUCUAUGCCAGGGUGACGUCCAGGUACCUCCCGCACCCCCAAGGCUGUAGUUUACCCAUCCCUCUCCCCCCCCCCCCCCCCCCCCCCCCCCCCGCCACAGCCCCAGGGCCCAUUGAGACCUUCCUUUCUCCAAGCUGGCUGGGAAGAGGAGCCCAGUGACGUGGCAGGAAGCUCUGAAGCCCUUGAGCUCAAGGACCCUCCUCAAAUCUUACAAGCAACCUGAGCACAGAAUGGUGGGAAAGGCCCAUCUAGGAGGGCUUCCCGCAGGCGGAGGCACACAGAGGGGCAGGGUCCGGGCAGUGAGUACAGAGACUUUCUGGGUCCCAGAGUGUGCACCCAAACCUCAGACAACAAGCACCGGAACCGCGGGAGCCAGCCGCGCAGUGAAGCGGCCGGGCCGCCAGGACUCGCCCGGUGCCAGGCCGUCCUCCUCCCAGCCCGGAACCUGCACCCGCCUUCCACCCCGGCAGGCACAGACAGGGGCGCCCCCGGU
ensembl:lincRNA